rnacentral:lncRNA from 1 species
CACCAGAUGGUGCUCCAGCUACCCGUGAAUGGCCUACUCUCCCUGCUCAUGCCUUCUCAUCCCUCUACUCUCUUUCGCCUCCGCCGUCGGCUUUGGCUUCCCAGACAUCUUCCCAGACCUAGCUCAGUUUUCUCUGAGUUGCCAGGGCAGUCAUGUGAUGUACCGUGCACCUUCCAGCUGCUGGUGAAGAAGUCCCAAGGUGGAACUGAGAAGGUAAGGCCUCAUCUCUGA